rnacentral:rRNA from 1 species
GCCCAGACUCCUACGGGAGGCAGCAGUGGGGAAUAUUGCACAAUGGGGGAAACCCUGAUGCAGCGACGCCGCGUGAGCGAUGAAGUAUUUCGGUAUGUAAAGCUCUCUCAGCAGGGAAGAAAAUGACGGUACCUGACUAAGAAGCCCCGGCUAACUACGUGCCAGCAGCCGCGGUAAUACGUAGGGGGCAAGCGUUAUCCGGAUUUACUGGGUGUAAAGGGAGCGUAGACGGCAAUGCAAGCCAGAUGUGAAAGCCCGGGGCUCAACCCCGGGACUGCAUUUGGAACUGUGUAGCUGGAGUGUCGGAGAGGCAGGCGGAAUUCCUAGUGUAGCGGUGAAAUGCGUAGAUAUUAGGAGGAACACCAGUGGCGAAGGCGGCCUGCUGGACGAUGACUGACGUUGAGGCUCGAAAGCGUGGGGAGCAAACAGGAUUAGAUACCCGAGUAA